rnacentral:rRNA from 1 species
UCUAAUACCGGAUAUGACGCGCGACCGCAUGGUCUGUGCGUGGAAAGCUCCGGCGGUGAAGGAUGAGCCCGCAGCCUAUCAGCUUGUUGGUGGGGUAAUGGCCUACCAAGGCGACGACGGG